rnacentral:rRNA from 1 species
AGCAGCCGCGGUAAUUCCAGCUCCAAUAGCGUAUAUUAAAGUUGUUGCAGUUAAAAAGCUCGUAGUUGAAUUUUAGGCCUGGCCGGGCGGUCCGUCUUUGGCGAGUACUGUCCUGUGUCGGGUCUUCCUUCUGGUGAACCUCCAUGUCCUUUAUUGGGUGUGUUGGGGAGCCAGGACCAUUACCUUGAAAAAUUAGAGUGUUUAAAGCGGGCUUUUGCUUGAAUAGAUUAGCAUGGAAUAAUAGAAUAGGACGUUGUGGUUCUAUUUUGUUGGUUUCUAGGACCACCGUAAUGAUUAAUAGGGAUAGUUGGGGGCAUUAGUAUUCAAUUGUCAGAGGUGAAAUUCUUGGAUUUAUUGAAGACUAACUAUUGCGAAAGCAUUUGCCAAGGAUGUUUUCAUUAAUCAAGAACGAAAGUUAGGGGAUCGAAGACGAUCAGAUACCGUCGUAGUCUUAACCAUAAACUAUGCCGACUAGGAAUCGGGCGACGUUAUUUUCAUGACUCGCUCGGCGCCUUAUGGG